GCCGGUGUCGCCAAGGGUCAAAGUAGGCCACCGGGACCACGGCGAUGAGGGGAAGCGUCGUGCCCCGAUCCGGUCUUGUGCGGUUCAAGCUGACAGUGCGGGUUCGAUUCCCGUCACCCGCUCCA
rnacentral:tRNA from 1 species